rnacentral:tRNA from 1 species
GCUUUCGUGGUGUAAGGUCCAGCAUACUCGGCCCAAAUUCGAGGGGUCUGAGGUUCGAGUCCCAACAAGGGCA